GAUGAACGCUGGCGGCGUGCCUAAUACAUGCAAGUCGAGCGAACGGACGAGAAGCUUGCUUUUCUGAUGUUAGCGGCGGACGGGAGAGUAACACGUGGAUCCCCUACCUAUAAUACUGGGAUAACUUCGGGAAACCGGAGCUAAUACCGGAUAAUCUUUUGAUCCGCGUGGUUCAAAAGUGAAAGACGGUCUUGCUGUCACUUAUCGAUGGAUCCGCGCUGCAUUAGCUAGUUGUUACGGUAACGGCUUACCAAGGCAACGAUGCCUAGCCGACCUGAGAGAGUGAUCGGCCACACUGGAACUGAGACACCGUCCAGACUCCUACGGGAGGCAGCAGUAGCGAAUCUUCCGCAAUGGGCGAAAGCCUGACGGAGCAACGCCGCGUGAGUGAUGAAGGUCUUCGGAUCGUAAAACUCUGUUAUUGGGGAAGAACAUAUGUGUAAGUAACUGUGCACAUCUUGACGGUACCUAAUCAGAAAGCCACGGCUAACUACGUG
rnacentral:rRNA from 1 species